rnacentral:tRNA from 1 species
UAUGCUCUAGUGUAGAGGCACGGAGAAAUUUGAAUUCUUAAGAUCUAGCUCUAACUAGGGAGUAUUA